CAGGCCUAACACAUGCAAGUCGAAUGCGGAUUCCGCAUGGCGAAACGGUGAGUACAAUUCACAGAACUAACUAUAUAAUUCGGAAUAAAUAGAAUUCUAAUAAUACCGAAUCAAAAGAUUAAUCGUUAUAUAGAAGGCUGGAAGAGGAUUAGGUAGUUGGUUAGGUAAAGGCUGACCAAGCCAUUGAUCCUUAGUCGGUUUGAGAGAAUGAUCGGCCACAGUGGGAAUGAAGAAAGACCCAAACUCGAAUGAGGCAGCAGUGAGGAAUAUUGGACAAUGGGCGAAAGCCUGAUCCAGCAAUAUGAAAGAAACGAAGAAGGUGAUUUCAUUGUAACGUUGGAAUUUGAGGAGAAUGAUGAUCGUAAUCAAAGAGUAGUUCCGGCUAACUUCGUGCCAGCAGCCGCGGUAAU
rnacentral:rRNA from 1 species